GCAGGGAUAACCAAGCCUGGCCAAAGGUGCGAGAUUCAGGGUCUCGUCGCGUAGGCGUUCGGGGGUUCGAAUCCUCCUCCCUGCACCA
rnacentral:tRNA from 1 species